UGACCUCAGAUCAGGUAGA
rnacentral:rRNA from 1 species